rnacentral:rRNA from 1 species
GGUAAUCCCGGGCCUCGAGCGGGGGUAAUGCGGAGGGUGUAAGGUUUAUUCGGGUUUAGUGGGUUUAAAGGUUCCGUAGGCGGACCGGUAAGUCAGUGGUGAAAGCCUACAGCUUAACUGUAGAACUGCCGUUGAUACUGUCGGUCGUGAGUGUGGUUGAGGUAGCGGGAAUGAGUAGUGUAGCGGUGAAAUGCAUAGAUAGUACUCAGAACACCAAUUGCGAAGGCAGGUUACCAAGUCACAACUGACGCUGAUGGACGAAAGCGUGGGGAGCGAACAGGAUUAGAUACCCUAGUAGUC